rnacentral:rRNA from 1 species
UACGGAGGAUGCGAGCGUUAUCCGGAUUUAUUGGGUUUAAAGGGUGCGUAGGCGGGAUGCCAAGUCAGCGGUCAAAUACGGGGGCUCAACCCCAUCCAGCCGUUGAAACUGGGGAUCUAGAGUGUGCGAGAGGUAUGCGGAAUGCGUGGUGUAGCGGUGAAAUGCUUAGAUAUCACGAAGAACUCCGAUUGCGAAGGCAGCUCACUAGACUGCAACUGACACUGAUGCUCGAAAGUGUGGGUAUCAAACAGG